UAGAAGUCCAUGACUUGCACAAAUAUUA
rnacentral:sRNA from 1 species